rnacentral:lncRNA from 1 species
GUGAAUUCUGUUGAUAUUCCAUUCUUUAUUAUUCUAUUGGAAUAUCCUGUCAGUGCGGAUUACGCAUGACCUGGUUCUAUUCUUUAUUAUUCUAUUGGAAUAACCUGUAUGUGCGAUCUAUCGUAUGCAUGGUGAAUUCUUCUAUUAUUCCAUCUUUUAUUAUUAUGUUGGAAUAACCUGUCUAUGUGGAUUACCACAUGCAUGGUGACUGAUCCUUCGUAUUCAUUCCUUAUUAAAUUGUGGAAAUGACCUGUCUACGUGGAUUACCG